rnacentral:rRNA from 1 species
GGAAUAUUGGACAAUGGGCGCAAGCCUGAUCCAGCCAUGCCGCGUGAGUGAAGAAGGCCUUAGGGUUGUAAAUCUCUUUCGGCGGGGAAGAUAAUGACGGUACCCGGAGAAGCAGCCCCGGCUCACUCCGUGCCAGCAGCCGCGGUAAUACGGAGGGGGCUAGCGUUGUUCGGAAUUACUGGGCGUAAAGCGCGCGUAGGCGGAUUGUUAAGUCGGGGGUGAAAUCCCGGGGCUCAACCCCGGAACUGCCUCCGAUACUGGCAGUCUUGAGUCCGAGAGAGGUGAGUGGAAUUCCGAGUGUAGAGGUGAAAUUCGUAGAUAUUCGGAGGAACACCAGUGGCGAAGGCGGCUCACUGGCUCGGUACUGACGCUGAGGUGCGAAAGCGUGGGGAGCAAAC